rnacentral:lncRNA from 1 species
CAUAACUCUGAGAAUGAAAGAGGUACAUUCAACUGGACGCCCUCCUUGUCAAAUUUUAUUUCAUAUUACUGAGCGGAAUCUUAAUGUUGGAGCCUUAUCUCGCCCCAAAGUCGGGCCUCUCUAACGGGUCGGCUUAGGGUCGACCUCCUAAUUACGUUAUGCAUGCACCGUUCGUCAAGCCUCCGAAACUGGUACAGAGGAUUUCAUAAAUUAGUGCCCAACUCGGCUCUUCGACGUAAACUCCUACGUCCGGCUGAAAAAGUGGUCCCGGCCACGAAUGUGCCAGCCAAACGCGGGUACCAAGGCAAUCUCGUGGAAACCCGAGCCUUGCUCACCGAAGCCUCGGCAGAGUCCGAGAACAAUAACUACGAAAACCGUCGGUAAUGACCUGCCUAUUGGCCCGCGCUCCCUCUGAGGGGUCUGGAGUUAAGUUCGGAGACCCGACUAAACUCCCCGAUUAGCGGCACGCACAGACCUAGUCCGGUCUUAGUUAAAGGGCUA